rnacentral:rRNA from 1 species
CAUCUACCCUUGCAGCGCGAACUGGCGGACUUGAGUGCACGCAACGUAUGCGGAAUUCAUGGUGUAGCGGUGAAAUGCUUAGAUAUCAUGACGAACUCCGAUUGCGAAGGCAGCGUACGGGAGUGUUACUGACGCUUAAGCUCGAAGGUGCGGGUAUCGAACAGGAUUAGAUACCCUGGUAGUCCGCACGGUAAACGAUGGAUGCCCGCUGUUAGCGCCUGGCGUUAGCGGCUAAGCGAAAGCAUUAAGCAUCCCACCUGGGGAGUACGCCGGCAACGGUGAAACUCAAAGGAAUUGACGGGGGCCCGCACAAGCGGAGGAACAUGUGGUUUAAUUCGAUGAUGCGCGAGGAACCUUACCCGGGCUUGAAUUGCAGACGUAGGAUACAGAGAUGUUGACCCCCUUCGGGGCGUCUGUGAAGGUGCUGCAUGGUUGUCGUCAGCUCGUGCCGUGAGGUGUCGGCUUAAGUGCCAUAACGAGCACAACCCCUUUCCUUAGUUGCCAUCAGGUGAUGCUGGGCACUCUGGGGAUACUGCCACCGCAAGGUGUGAGGAAGGUGGGGAUGGCGUCAAAUCAGCACGGCCCUUACGUCCGGGGCUACACACGUGUUACAAUGGCCGGUACAGAGGGACGGUGCGAUGCAAAUCGCAUCCAAUCUUGAAAGCCGGUCCCAGUUCGGACUGAGGUCCGCAACCCGACCUCACGAAGCUGGAUUCGCUAGUAAUCGCGCAUCAGCCAUGGCGCGGUGAAUACGUUCCCGGGCCUUGUACACACCGCCCGUCAAGCCAUGAAAGCCGGGGGUGCCUGAAGUUCGUAACCGCGAGGAGCGACCUAGGGGCCA